UACGUAGGUGGCAAGCGUUGUCCGGAUUUACUGGGCGUAAAGCGCGCGCAGGCGGGCUGGUCAGUCCGGGGUGAAAUCUCACGGCUCAACCGUGAGCGGUCCCCGGAUACUGCCAGUCUUGAAGUGUCUAGAGGAGAGCGGAAUUCCCGGUGUAGUGGUGGAAUGCGUAGAUAUCGGGAAGAACACCAGUGGCGAAAGCGGCUCUCUGGGGACCACCUGACGCUGAGGCGCGAAAGCGUGGGGAGCGAACCGG
rnacentral:rRNA from 1 species